UUGAACUCAGCUUCCAGGAACCAGGCAGGAGCCCUGGUUCCCAUGCAGACUUCCAGAAUUAGCAAAGAAAAAGAGGCUCAAACCCCUUCUUAGGCAUUCGAGGGGAGUGGACUUGUGUAGUGGAUGAUUGUGUCAACUUGAGACUUUUAGAAGAUUAACAAAAUUGGCUUAGCAAUUCUACACCUUUAGGGUGGCUAAAAGGAAAAGAGUAUAAAAGGAAAAGAGGGAGAACAGGUGAGGUUCCAGUCUUUGCCUUCGGCUUGAACCUCAUCUCCUGGCUUCCAGCACAGACCCUUCAGCCUCUGCCUUGGAUCCCUGAAGUUCUGGAAUAGACUCUUUAGCCUUCUGUCACAGACCCAUCAGCCAGCGGGUGUGGAAUUGCGUGGGAUGCUGCAGUGAACUCCAGCCCUUAGACUGAAUCCUUUGGCCUCCAGCAUGCAGACACUUCCUCAUUGGACUCUGUGGAUGACCUUUCCACAGACUGAACUGCAUAAUCUUCAUCUCACGGUUGAUUCCAAUUUCUUAGUGAAUGAGCCCCAGCAUUGCCUUUGGCUGUCGUGUUCUACUUCUCACCGGGAUCUAUGUUUAGCAUUCAGCAUGGCAUUGACAACACUACAGAGAAUACAACAGGCUGUGAAAAAAGUGUUUCCCUAAAAUACUGGAGACUGAAUGAAGAAGAAAAUAUCAUAGAUGUCUAGGAAAAAUAUUUGUAUUUUUAACUUAGUUCAUGCUUCACAAUUCUAACGUCAUGUAAAUUUCAAGUAAAGGCAAAAUACAAAACUCAGAACUUUACUACACAGAAUACUUUACCUUGUUGUAGGCAGCUGAGUUAGUUAGAAAUAUAGACAGUGAGACAGGGCUAGGCCCUUGAUGGAUUCAGUGCAUAAGCCUAGAUAUCUUGAAACUGUGGGGGAGACAGACAUCUCCUGCUGUGGACCAAGCCUCAAGACAAAAGAUCAAACAAAUACAGCCAUAUCCUAAGGACUGAUAUUCUAAAUAGCUCACCCUGAGGAAGCCAGGAGUCACCAUCCCAACCUCCUAGAACUGUUUACUUGCUGCUGCUAAUCUUCACACAACAGUGACCUUCCUCACUCAUAACAGUCCACAGAACCUAGAAGGAAUAAGCACCAUGACUGCUGUAAUCUGUGACUGAAGUCUGUCUGCAUGAGAAAAGACUUGACCUUGCAGAGUGAGGCUCAGGACAGAAGCUCAGCAGCACAGGAAAUAGCCUCUCUGGCUGGUGAAGUAUAGUUUGUCCACUCUGAACAUUACUGAGCUCAGCACACAGACUGAACUGCAUAAUCUUCAUCUCAUGGUUGACUGCAGUUUCUUAGUGAAUGACACCCAGCAUUGCCUUUGGCUGCCAUAUUCUACUUCUCACAGAGAUCUAUGUUUAGCAUUCAGCACAGCGUGGACAUUACUACAGCAAAUGCAACAGGUUGUGUGGCAUUUCUCCAAAAGGCUGGAGACUGAAUGAGGAAGAACAUAUCUUCUAUGUCUUCUGUAAAUACAAAGUCAAAGACUCACACACAUACAAAUAUACUGACACAUGUAUACAGAUUU